rnacentral:rRNA from 1 species
GUGAACGCUGGCGGUAGGCCUAACACAUGCAAGUCGAACGGCAGCACAGUAAGUGCUUGCUCUUACGGGUGUCGAGUGGCGGACGGGUGAGGAAUACUUCGGAAUCUACUUUUUCGUUGGGUAUAACGUAGGGUAACUUACGCUAAUACCUCAUACGACCUACGGGUUAAAUCAUUUGAUCUUCUUACCUUUCGCUAUUUAAUUUGCCGAUGUCGGAUUUGCUAGUUGGCGGGGUAAAGUCCCACCAAGGCGACGAUCGGUAGAUGGUAUGAGAGUAUGAUAAGAAAAACUGGAACGGAGACACGGACCAGACGACUACGGGAGGGAGCAGAGGGGAAUAUGGGACAAUGGGCGAAAGCAUGAUACAGCAAUACCGCGUGGGUGAAGAAGGACUGCGGGUUGUAAAGAACUUUUGUUGGGAAAGAAAAGCAGCAGGUGAAUACACAGAUGUUCUGACGGUAACCAAAGAAUAAGCACCGGCUAACUUCGUG